rnacentral:rRNA from 1 species
AUUGAACGCUGGCGGCAUGCUUUACACAUGCAAGUCGAACGGUAACGGGGACUUCGGUCUGCCGACGAGUGGCGAACGGGUGAGUAAUAUAUCGGAACGUGCCCAGUAAUGGGGGAUAGCUCGGCGAAAGCCGGAUUAAUACCGCAUACGCCCUGAGGGGGAAAGUGGGGGAUCUUCGGACCUCACGUUAUUGGAGCGGCCGAUAUCAGAUUAGCUAGUUGGUGGGGUAAAGGCCUACCAAGGCGACGAUCUGUAGCUGGUCUGAGAGGAUGAUCAGCCACACUGGGACUGAGACACGGCCCAGACUCCUACGGGAGGCAGCAGUGGGGAAUUUUGGACAAUGGGCGGAAAGACCUGAUCCAGCCAUGCCG